rnacentral:lncRNA from 1 species
UUUGUUUUGGAGCUUUUCUUUUGAGAGCUUUUUGGAUGGAAUUGAUAAGUGUAGAACACUCUUGUAGGUUGGAUUUGAAGCUUUUUAGCUUUGAUUUGGACCUUGAACAAGUGUGUCACGCCCCGGGGUCCCCUUUUAGUUUGAAACACAGCGGAAAAGCGUUUAAAUUUUUUUUUUUGAAAACCUGACCCCAGAGUAUGCCAGAUCCGCCACAAAUACAGGGAAUCCACUGUUCACACGGACAGAGUCUCCCCUGUAUUUGCACGGCGUCACACAAGUACAAAAGUACAAACAGUAUACAACCACAACUAAAUGAAUAUACAGAUAGCUAUACAUUCAUACAUUCACCAUUCACACCGUAGUUUUACAUUCGAUGUUUAAACAAAAGUCCACGAAAAAUCUUUUGAAAACUGUUCCAUACGCGAAAACUUUUAUCUUUUAUAAAAGCUACCACGAGGGGUAGAAAACCUUUUAUUUUACCAAAUCCAGAAAUCCUUUUAUUACAUUCAUGAAAGUCCACAUAUUCCAAUGUAAUAAAAAUACUGAACCAUAUAAACUGACUAAGCUAUAACAACAGAAUAGUAGGGAUAAAACUAAACCGAUAACCUGGGUCGGAAGCUCUAUCGACCGCUACGAACGUACCUCACGUCUCGUCCCAAAACUCAACGCCUGCAAUACCUGAAAAAUAGUGGGGGAGGUGAGAACAUGUAAACAUGUCUCCCCUCCCAGUGGGUACCGCAAGCCGAUGAAGGCGAGGAGUACUCACCGGAUCAGGAAGAGCUAAACAACAGUACGGGUCAGUAGAAAAUACAGUAGCAAUAAUAAUGAAUGAAAGAGACAUAUAUAUGAAAGAAAGUACAACUACCGCUACUGUAAUGAACAACUGAGUGUAUACAUGUAACAAGACUAUAGUAGCAAGACAAUGUAACGAAAGAACUACAAGUAUGUAU